UUCGUUCUGUUUCUAUGCAUACAAGUCUUGUAGGUUUACUGGGGGUGUUAUCUGUUAGGCCUGACCUGGAUUUUAACUCUGCAAAAAUAGAUUAUGGUAAUUCAGAGGUUCAGUUAGGUUCUCCUUUGAAUACAUUAUCCGGAAGCACUCUAUUAUUUCCUGUGGGGAAGUCUAAGCACUGGCUUGUUCUAAUGGACAAGCCGGCAAUUGGUGUUGUCACAAAGGCACAGAUUGUUGAUUAUUAUACUCAACUACUAACCACGUGAGAAGGACGCCCAAAUGUGCAUAUACCACAUUUCCUGGCAAUCCGACUUUGAAUUCUGUUGUGAGCUAGAUGAGGAGUGUGCACGAGAACUAGCAGGUUUGGUGUAUGCUUCCAUAACCUAAGUUUUGGAUGUCUAUGCUGGCAGAAUAAGGAUAAAUGUUUUUGAUUUGGCGCAGGUGUGCCUGGUGUGUUAUCUGUUCAGCCAGAUAAAAUUUUUGACUCAGAUAAUAAGAAUUAUGGAGGUAAGAAUUUGCAGCAGUCUGGUAAUUCCCGAGAUUCUUUAGCAGCAAAUGAAAUACCACUACUACAAAAACAGAAACCCCUUUCCUGUGCUGGCCUUGUAAAUACACAUCUUAUAUGAAAUAUCUUUUAUACAUGAAAAACGUGCUUAGAGCCUUAGACUUUGUUGUAUUAAUAUUUGGUGAAAUCCCUGAUAUCUACCUACUUACAAAUUUGCAGAUGCAAGAAAUUUAUGGGGCUUCUUGUUACUUCAUUGAGGCAGAGAGUAUGAACAAGAAAAAAUGUCUGUAAGUUAUUUCUUGCUAAUUUUGGUGUUUUGGCUAGUUUACUUGCUGAUUGUAGCUCAUAGUAAUUGCUUUUGUUCCCUUACACAGCAUCUCUUUUAUGCAUGAUGCAAUUUGUUUCUGUGAAAGAGAUUCUGUAAUCUAUAUUCUUUGAAUAAUUUAUACAGAAGAUUCAUUAUGGUUCAAGCA